rnacentral:lncRNA from 1 species
GGGACGGAAAAGCUCGUGAUGGAUCGGAGGAAGAAGAGCCAAUAUGAAGCAAUCGUGCACGAUGACCCGUCAUGGCACUACCAUAGGGCAAUGAAAGUGUGGAUUCGGACAUCAAUGGUUUUGAUCAAGCAAUUUCAAGGAAAGGAACUCAUCCCCGUGUGACCUGAUUUGUAACUCACCAAAAACAGAAGGCAACAUUCUAUGGAACUACCAAAUCAGGUCACAGAUCAGACAAGCAAAAAACAAUAGGUGAUUUCAAAGAAUAAAAGAAAAGAAGCUGGGGCAUGGCAUCGAGGAGGAUACAGUCACAGAUUGGACAAACCAGCCUCGACCCAGAAAAAUGGUUGUUGACCACCGGCCUCCCGCCACGCUGCUUCGGCCUCCACUCAGCCCCGCAGGCCGGCUCUGCCACUUGCGGCCGCGCUUGGCUGNNN